GAUGAAGAACGUAGCGAAAUGCGAUAAGUAAUGUGAAUUGCAGAAUUCAGUGAAUCAUCGAAUCUUUGAACGCACAUUGCGCCCCCUGGUAUUCCGGGGGGCAUGCCUGUCCGAGCGUCAUUACAACCCUCAAGCUCAGCUUGGUGUUGGGCCCCGCCGCCCCGGCGGGCCCUAAAGUCAGUGGCGGUGCCGUCCGGCUCCGAGCGUAGUAAUUCUUCUCGCUCUGGAGGUCCGGUCGUGUGCUCGCCAGCAACCCCCAAUUUUUUUCAGGUUGACCUCGGAUCAGGUAGGGAUACCCGCUGAACUUAAGCAAAUCAAUAAGCGGAGGA
rnacentral:misc_RNA from 1 species